rnacentral:lncRNA from 1 species
GGGACUGCGGCGGGCGCGACCCCCUCCUGGGGGUCCGACGGGACUGCGGCGGGGCGCGACCCCCUCCUGGGGGUCCGCCGGGACUGCGGCUGGCGGCGACCCCCUCCUGGGGGUCCGCCGGGACUGCGGCCGGCGCGACCCCCUCCUGGGGGUCCGCCGGGACUGCGGCCGGCGCGACCCCCUCCUGGGGGUCCGCCGGGACUGCGGCCGGCGCAACCCCCUCCUGGAGGUGCGCAGGAACUGCGGCCGGCGCAACCUCCUCCUGGAGGUGCGCAGGAACUGCGGCUGGCGCAACCUCCUCCUGGAGGUGCGCAGGAACUGCGGCUGGCGCAACCUCCUCCUGGAGGUGCGCAGGAACUGCGGCUGGCGCAACCUCCUCCUGGAGGUGCGCAGGAGCUGUAGCGACCUCCUCCUGGGGACCGGCGGGCGCUGCGGCUCCACGGGUGACGGGGACUGGAACGACCGCUACAGGGCCGACAGGAACGGGGACUGGAACGACCGCUACAGGGUCGACAGGAACGGGGACUGAAACGACCGCUACAGGGUCGACAGGAACGGGGACUGGAACGACCGCUACAGGGCCGACAGGAACGGGGACUGGAACGACCGCUACAGGGUCGACAGGAACGGGGACUGGAACGACCGCUACAGGGUCGACAGGAACGGGGUCAGAGACAGGGGUGACCUCUACUUGGCCUACGGGAACGCCCUCUACUUGGCCUACGGGAACGCCCUCUACUCGGCCUACGGGAACGCCCUCUACUUGGCCUACGGGAACGCCCUCUACUUGGCCUACGGGAACGCCCUCUACUUGGCCUACAGGAACAGGAACUGGAACGACCUCAAUUUGGUCGGCAGGGACAGGGACUGGAACGACCUCAAUUUGGAUGGCAGGGACAGGGACUGGAACGACCUCAACUUGGUCGGCAGGGACAGGAACUGGAACGACCUCAACAUGGCCGACAGGGACAGGAACUGGAACGACCUCGACAUGGCCGACAGGAACUGGAACGACCUCGACAUGGCCGACAGGAACUGGAACGACCUCAACAUGGCCGACAGGAACUGGAACGACCUCAACAUGGCCGACAGGAACUGGAACGACCUCAACAUGGCCGACAGGAACUGGAGCGGCGUCCCCUCCGGAGCUGGCAUGACAGCUUACAGCUGCCGAGCUCGACGGGGGAGACGUCGGGCCUGAUUGGGUGGGGUUAACAGUCGUCAGACGGACGGCGCCCUCUGACGGGGACAAGGACGGAACUGGGGUCAGGGCAACACACGACUGAUCUGGGGUCUGGGCAACACACGGCUGAUCUGGGGUCUGGGCAACACACGGCUGAUCUGGGGUCUGGGCAACACACGGCUGAUCUGGGGUCUGGGCAACACACGGCUGAUCUGGGGUCUGGACUAGGUUCGACUGGGCUGGGACCUGGAGACGACAGGGCUGCACCGGGGCAUGAGUAACACACGGCUGACCUGACUGAGAGGUGGGGCAUGAAGCGACCGCUGGCUGCAGGCCCGGGAGUUGCAGGGCCUCACGCAGGACAGGCUCCCUCCGGACGAGAGCGGCUGCUUCCUCGAACAGUUGUUCUCUCGCGCCCUGGUCUGUAGCCGAAUUGGCGGUGUUCAUGAGGUGGGCGAAGAGAAAGGCAACUGGAGGAGAGCAGAGGAGGUGGACCCGUCGGGCGACGCUGUCUGGGAUGCCUGUUAUCAGAGGGACACAGUCAGUCAGAGAAUUAAGGGGCUCCUCUGUCGGGGAAGAAGGCUGCUCGGUCCCCAUGACCGAGACCGCGGGACCCGGGAUCCUGGACCCGCGCCGCCGCCGUCGCCGUCCGGAGCAGCUGCGACUGUCCGUCGUUUGAGGCGCUGGGCGCGGUGUGGACCGGACCUCUGUACCGGGAUCCGCAUGGUGAAACGGGGCCGCGGCGUCUGGAGCUUGGGCUGGAGACUGGGGAAAACACGAUUGAGCAGGAGACUGGGCAAAACACGAUUGAGCUGGAGACUGGGCAAAGCACGAUUGAGCUGGAGAUUGAACAGCGCGCGGCUGAACUGGAGACUGAGCAGCGCGCGGCUGAUCUGGAGACUGAGCAGCGCGCGGCUGACUUGGAGGCUGAGCAGCGCGCGGCUGAACUGGAGACUGAGCAGCGCGCGGCUGAACGGGAGACUGAGCAGCGCGCGGCUGAACUGGAGGCUGAGGACCGCGUGAGAGCAGGAAAUCCUCCCAGGGAAAUAACCAUGGAGCUGGGCAGGUUGGUGCAGGCACGACGAUCCGACGAGGCGGAGAGGAUGAAACCGAAACCAUACUUCCGCGGGGGGAGUUAUAUUUGCCGUAAAAAACAAGGGGAAAAACAGUCACUGACCUGACCGGAGGCUAAGUGCUGGCUGGGUCCAAGUGUGGCCAGAUUGUUCUGUCAGGGACUCGGGCAGGCGGCGAACCCACAUGCACAGCACAGAGGCAGGAUUACGAUCAGAAAGGUUUAUUCUUAAGGCACGGUCAGACGGUCCAGGUCAUACACGAAAUGGCUCGACAAAAGUACAGGCAGGGAACAGGCAAAAACUCACGGUCAGCAGAUACUCCAGGGUCAGGCAGGAUACAUGGUGCAAACAGGAAUAAACACGAAAAAACACGAACA